rnacentral:rRNA from 1 species
GAUGAACGCUGGCGGCGUGCCUAAUACAUGCAAGUCGAGCGAACGGACCAGAAGCUUGCUUCUCUGAUGUUAGCGGCGGACGGGUGAGUAACACGUGGAUAACCUACCUAUAAGACUGGGAUAACUUCGGGAAACCGUAGCUAAUACCGGAUAAUAUUUUGAACCGCAUGGUUCAAAAGUGAAAGACGGUCUUGCUGUCACUUAUAGAUGGAUCCGCGCUGCAUUAGCUAGUUGGUAAGGUAACGGCUUACCAAGGCAACGAUGCAUAGCCGACCUGAGAGGGUGAUCGGCCACACUGGAACUGAGACACGGUCCAGACUCCUACGGGAGGCAGCAGUAGGGAAUCUUCCGCAAUGGGCGAAAGCCUGACGGAGCAACGCCGCGUGAGUGAUGAAGGUCUUCGGAUCGUAAAACUCUGUUAUUAGGGAAGAACAUAUGUGUAAGUAACUGUGCACAUCUUGACGGUACCUAAUCAGAAAGCCACGGCUAACUACGUG